AUGCCAUCGGGUCAACCCUUACCGCCCAAAGAAAAUUCCUUAUUCAAACGAAUUUUAAGAUGCUACGAACAGAAACAAUAUAAAAAUGGACUUAAAUUUGCAAAACAGAUUCUGUCACAUCCAAAGUUCUCUGAACAUGGAGAAACUUUGGCUAUGAAAGGACUUACUUUAAAUUUUCUUGGUCGAAAAGAUGAAGCAUAUGAGCAUGUACGACGGGGUCUCCGUAAUGAUCUUACUUCACAUGUUUGCUGGCAUGUUUAUGGUUUAUUGCAAAGAUCAGAUAAGAAGUAUGAUGAAGCCAUUAAAUGUUAUAGAAAUGCAUUGAAAUGGGAAAAAGACAAUAUUCAAAUUUUACGAGAUUUAUCACUGCUACAAAUUCAAAUGAGAGAUUUGGAAGGAUAUCGAGACACAAGAUAUCAAUUGUUUAUGUUGCGGCCAACUCAAAGAGCAUCAUGGAUAGGGUAUGCAAUGGCAUAUCAUCUAUUAAACGAUCAUGAUAUGGCCUUGAAAAUUUUGGAAACAUUUAGGAAAACUCAAAUGGUUUCUGCUCCAUUUGAUUUCGAGUAUAGCGAACUUCUUUUGUAUCAAAAUAUGGUUAUUCAAGAAUCUGGUGGAGUGUUAGAUGCCAUCAAACAUUUAGAUAUGUACAAAGAAAAUAUUUUUGAUAAAUUAACAGUCCUAGAGAUUUAUGGUUCAUUAUACUUAAAAAUUGGAGAAUAUCAUUUAGCUACAUUGUGUUAUGAAAAAUUACUAAGAAGAAACCAAGAAAACACACCUUACUAUUUAAUGAUUAAAGAAGCUAAGCAAUUGCAUAAUGAUGAAUGUGUUUAUAAUAUGCUAUGUGGUUAUCGGAAGAAGUUUCCUAAAGCAUUGGCUCCUAAACGAUUAUGUUUAACUUUUGCAUCAGGAAAUGCAUUCCAAACUGAAGUCGAUUCUUACUUAAGAGCUGGUUUCCAUAAAGGUGUUCCGCCAUUGUUUGUAGAUUUACGGUCAUUAUAUAAAAAUAAAAAUAAAGUACAAAUAAUUGAAAGUCUAUUAGAAUCGUAUGUAAAUAAUUUGACAAAGUUCAAUUCAUUUGAUAGUGAUGAUUCAUCAUGUAAAGAACCUGCUUCUGCAUUACUGUGGGUCUAUCACUAUUUAGCUCAACACUUUGAUUACCUUAAUGAUAUUCAGAAAGCAUUAACUUACAUUGAUAUGGCAAUUGCACACACACCGACUUUAAUUGAACUAUUUGUUACAAAAGGAAGAAUAUUUAAACACGCUGGGGAUGCUUAUGAGGCAUAUAAAUGGCUAGAUGAAGCACAAGGAUUGGACACAGCUGAUAGAUAUAUUAAUUCAAAAUGUGCAAAAUACAUGUUGCGUGCUAAUCUUAUAAAAGAAGCAGAAGAAACAUGCUCCAAGUUCACAAGGGAAGGUGUUUCACCUAUGGAAAACUUGAAUGAGAUGCAAUGUAUGUGGUUCCAAACAGAGUGUGCAUUAGCUUAUCAACGACUUGGAAAAUGGGGCGAAAGUUUGAAAAAAUGCCAUGAAGUUGAUAGGCAUUUUACUGAGAUUAUUGAUGACCAAUUUGAUUUUCAUACAUACUGUAUGCGUAAAAUGACUUUGAGGUCAUAUGUGAAUUUAUUAAGGCUUGAAGACAUAUUACGUUCUCAUCCAUUUUACUUCAGAGUGGCACGAUGUGCAAUCCAAGUAUACUUACAUCUUCAUGAUAAACCUCCGACUGAUGCAUCAUCUAAUAAUGAAUUAGAUACAGGAAACUUGGCUCCAGGACAAUUGAAAAAAAUGUUGAAUAAGCAAAGAAAAGCACAACGAAAAGCUCAAGAAGAAAAAGCUCAAGCUUUAGCUGCUCAAGAAAAACGAGAUAUGCAUAAAAAUCGACAACAGGUGACUAAUACAAGUGACGAGGCUGAUGCAAUGCCAUUGGAUGAACUACUUCCAGAAAAGUUGGAAAGAGUGGAAGAUCCUUUGGAACAAUCAAUAAAGUUCUUGAAACCCCUUCAAGAACUCGCAUCAGAUAAUAUUGAAACUCAUUUAAUGGCAUUUGAAAUUUAUUACAGAAAGGAUAAACUUUUGUUGAUGUUGCAAAGUAUCAAAAGAACUCAUCGUAUUUGUCCAGACCAUCCAAUGUUUCACAGUUGCUUAAUAAGAUUUAUGGAGAAACUAUUGAAACUUGACAACAUUCAAGAAGAAAUGCAAUUGGUGCUUAAUAAACAAUUAGAACCGAUAUUGGGUGGAAUGUCAGCUGCUGAAAUCAAUUUGCAGUUCCUCAAUAAACACCAUAAAUCAUUGCCAUCAUUAGUUCAGGGUUUGAAAAUGAAAUAUAAACUUGAUAAUAGUUCACAACAAGAAGUUCUUGACCAAAUUACUAAGCUAGACGAUUCCUUGGAGAAUGUCAAUAUUCAAACUUGUACUGAUAUUUUAAAUUCAUUAAUCAAUGGUGAAUUUGGCGAAGUUGGUGAUGCUGCGGAAGAAUAUCGUAAAACAUGUUAUAAACGUUUCCCAUUGGCUACUGCUUUCCAUACGGAUCAAGAUCGUUCCCCAAUGGCAUUCUGGUCCAACUCUUACAAAACGUUAAAUGAAACGCAUGAAAAUUGUGUCAGUAACUGAUUGAAGCUUGGACGUUAGAUCAAAAAUGUAUUUUUUAAUUUUGUUAAAAAGUUUUUUUUCUUAUUAUUUUUCUGUAGGAAAAACAACAUUUGUUUUUGCCUUGAGUAACCUGUAAAUAGUUGAUAAUAUAUUAUAAUUUCUUUUCUCAAAUCUAACACUUCACUAAUCGACAUACAGAUUACAGUUUUGACUGAAUAUUUAUAAUUUGUGUUUAUAGUUUAAAUUGCUUAAUGGAAAAAAAAAAUACUAUUUAACUCCAAACAACCCAAAAUGUUUUCUGUGAUACACCCUGAAAUUUAUGCUAAUUAUUGAUUAUUUAACUACUUUACAGGUUUAUAAAAUAUGAACUUGUAGAAGAAACAAAAAAUGUGGCUCAUUUACUAACCAAAGGUUGAUCUCCAAAUAUUUAAAUUUAAAGACACAUAUUUAUAUUGUUAACAGUAAGUAUAUUAUUGUUUACUGUUAAAUUGACAUUGAGUAAAUACUUAAA
rnacentral:misc_RNA from 1 species